rnacentral:rRNA from 1 species
GGAUGCGAUCAUACAAUCACUAACGCAUCGGAACCCAUCAGAACUCCGAAGUUAAGCGUGCUUGGGCGAGAGUAGUACUUGAUGGGUGACCCCCUCGGAAGUCCUUGUGUUGCAUCCC